rnacentral:rRNA from 1 species
AGUGAACGCUGGCGGCGUGCUUAACACAUGCAAGUCGAGCGGAGCGGCGAACGGGUGAGUAACGCGUGAGUAACUGCCCCCCUCUCUGGGAUAACAGUUGGAAACGGCUGCUAAUACCGGAUAGCGGGGGAUGACUCGCGGCCUAUCGGCUUGUUGGUGGGGUAGUGGCCUACCAAGGCGACGACGGGUAGCCGGCCUGAGUGGGCGACCGGCCACAGUGGGCUGAGAUACGGCCCAAACUCCGACGGGAGGCAGCAGGGGAGAAUAUUGCACAAGGGGGGAAAGCCUGAUGCAGCAACGCGCGGGCGUGAUGUAGGUCUUCGGGUUGUAAACCGCUUUCAGCCAUGACGCGGUAGUGGCAGAAGAAGCACCGGCUAACUACGUGCCAGCAGCCGCGGUAAUUC